rnacentral:rRNA from 1 species
UACAGAGGGUGCGAGCGUUAAUCGGAAUUACUGGGCGUAAAGCGCACGUAGGUGGCGACGUAAGUCGGGUGUGAAAGCCCCGGGCUCAACCUGGGAAUUGCAUUCGAGACUGCAUUGCUGGAGUACGGAAGAGGAAGGCGGAAUUCCCGGUGUAGCGGUGAAAUGCGUAGAUAUCGGGAGGAACAUCAAUGGCGGAGGCAGCCUUCUGGUCCAGUACUGACACUCAAGUACGAAAGCGUGGGGAGCAAACAGG